GACGAACGCUGGCGGCGCGCCUAACACAUGCAAGUCGAACGGAGUUAUUUGAAAGCUUGCUUUUGGAUAACUGAGUGGCGGACGGGUGAGUAACGCGUGAGCAACCUGCCUUUCAGAGGGGGAUAACGGCUGGAAACGGUCGCUAAUACCGCAUGAAAUGUUCGGAUGGCAUCGUCUGAAACAUCAAAGAUUUAUCGCUGAAAGAUGGGCUCGCGUCUGAUUAGAUAGUUGGUGAGGUAACGGCUCACCAAGUCGACGAUCAGUAGCCGGACUGAGAGGUUGAACGGCCACAUUGGGACUGAGAUACGGUCCAA
rnacentral:rRNA from 1 species